AUACGGAGGGGGCUAGCGUUGUUCGGAAUUACUGGGCGGAAAGCGUACGUCGGCGGACUAAUAAGUAAGAUGUGAAAUCCCAGGGCUCAACCCUGGAACUGCAUUUUAAACUGUUAGUCUAGAGUUAUGGAGAGGUAAGUGGAAUUCCUAGUGUAGAGGUGAAAUUCGUAGAUAUUAGGAGGAACACCAGCGGCGAAGGCGGCCUACUGGACAUAUACUGACGCUGAGGUACGAAAGCGUGGGGAGCAAACGGGAUUAGAUACCCUAGUAGUCC
rnacentral:rRNA from 1 species